UGAAGCAUAAUUCCUACUUAUAUAUCUAUUAUCUAUUUAUCAAAUCUAUAAUCUUGUUAUCAAAUCAAUAAGGAUAACGAUAAAUCGGAUUGCGGCAUCAGAUUUGACUAUAAAAGGAUGGUAUCAUGCUCUACCCGUUAAUUACUUACGAGUUACGAUCUCUCAAAUCCUCAGUCUCAAUAGUAGAGCGAGUGAUGAAGUCGAUGCCUCGAUGGAAAGAUUGCUUCGUGUAUUGAUUUCAAGCCCAUGUCGUUGCCCCGGAGGUUACCUCGCCGUUCUGUUUUUUCCUGCGAUGCCGUUCGAAGCCGGCAAGCCUGGCACGACUUGACAUAGAAUCCUUUUAAUUAUCCAGUCACGUAUAACGCAAGGUCAUCGGUUUUUGAUGGCUGACAAUCAGCCUCUUGAUCGUGUUCUCGUACGUAUCAGAGCUGUAAUCGACGAUUAAUGCCAUUAUCGGAGGUGUUAGCAAGGGCAAGGGAUGGAUUUACAAAAAUAUGGCUUGUUAAAUUGAUAGUUGGAGGCAGAGAUUGGUUUGAUUUCAGAGGAUCGCGAGAGAAGUUACAGUGAGGAAAGGUGUUUGUUAUGAUGUCAUCAACGUAAUUUAUUGGUUGUAGGCCUUUGCCAUGACGGGUGCGCUUGCAUGGCAGGUCAAACACUACUUAAUAAAAUUUCAUUUUCCGGGGGGGUGAAGGGGGAGAUGCUACGGCCGGUUUUUGUUCUUUGUUUUUGCCCCGGCGGCCGGCUCUUCCCCUUGGUGGUGUGUGUGUCUCUUUUUCUUCUUUCUCCUCCUCUUUUUUUUUUUUUUCCGGCGCUUCUCUCCUCCUCGUCUGCGUACGUCUCAUUAUUUUCAGCGACUCGUUUCAAGUCGAAA